AAGGUUAACCGAAUAGGGGAGCCGGAGGGAAACCGAGUCUUAAUUGGGCGUUAAGUUGCAGGGUAUAGACCCGAAACCCGGUGAUCUAGCCAUGGGCAGGUUGAAGGUUGGGUAACACUAACUGGAGGACCGAACCGACUAAUGUUGAAAAAUUAGCGGAUGACCUGUGGCUGGGGGUGAAAGGCCAAUCAAACCGGGAGAUAGCUGGUUCUCCCCGAAAGCUAUUUAGGUAGCGCCUCGUGAAUUCAUCUCCGGGGGUAGAGCACUGUUUCGGCUAGGGGGCCAUCCCGGCUUACCAACCCGAUGCAAACUGCGAAUACCGGAGAAUGUUAUCACGGGAGACACACGGCGGGUGCUAACGUCCGUCGUGAAGAGGGAAACAACCCAGACCGCCAGCUAAGGUCCCAAAGUCAUGGUUAAGUGGGAAACGAUGUGGGAAGGCCCAGACAGCCAGGAUGUUGGCUUAGAAGCAGCCAUCAUUUAAAGAAAGCGUAAUAGCUCACUGGUCGAGUCGGCCUGCGCGGAAGAUGUAACGGGGCUAAACCAUGCACCGAAGCUGCGGCAGCGACACUCAGGUGUUGUUGGGUAGGGGAGCGUUCUGUAAGCCUGCGAAGGUGGCCUGUGAGGGUUGCUGGAGGUAUCAGAAGUGCGAAUGCUGACAUAAGUAACGAUAAAGCGGGUGAAAAGCCCGCUCGCCGGAAGACCAAGGGUUCCUGUCCAACGUUAAUCGGGGCAGGGUGAGUCGACCCCUAAGGCGAGGCCGAAAGGCGUAGUCGAUGGGAAACGGGUUAAUAUUCCCGUACUUGGUGUUACUGCGAAGGGGGGACGGAGAAGGCUAUGUUGGCCGGGCGACGGUUGUCCCGGUUUAAGCGUGUAGGUGUGUGUUCCAGGUAAAUCCGGUUCACUUUAACACUGAGGCGUGACGACGAGGCACUACGGUGCUGAAGCAACAAAUGCCCUGCUUCCAGGAAAAGCCUCUAAGCAUCAGGUAACAUCAAAUCGUACCCCAAACCGACACAGGUGGUCAGGUAGAGAAUACCAAGGCGCUUGAGAGAACUCGGGUGAAGGAACUAGGCAAAAUGGUGCCGUAACUUCGGGAGAAGGCACGCUGACACGUAGGUGAAGUGAUUUACUCAUGGAGCUGAAGUCAGUCGAAGAUACCAGCUGGCUGCAACUGUUUAUUAAAAACACAGCACUGUGCAAACACGAAAGUGGACGUAUACGGUGUGACGCCUGCCCGGUGCCGGAAGGUUAAUUGAUGGGGUCAGCGCAAGCGAAGCUCCUGAUCGAAGCCCCGGUAAACGGCGGCCGUAACUAUAACGGUCCUA
rnacentral:rRNA from 1 species